rnacentral:rRNA from 1 species
ACGAACGCUGGCGGCUGCUUAACACAUGCAAGUAGAACGGAGUGGCGAACGGGUGAGUAACGCGUGAGCAACCUGCCUAUGACCGUGGGAUAGCCUCGGGAAACAGGGAUUAAUACCGCAUAGUCAUAGUUGGGCUCGCGUCUGAUUAGCUAGUUGGUGAGAAAACCGCUCACCAAGGCGACGAUCAGUAACCGGUCUGAGAGGAUGAACGGCCACAUUGGAACUGAGACACGGUCCAAACUCCUACGGGAGGCAGCAGUGGGGAAUAUUGCACUAUCGGGGAAACCAUGAUGCAGCGACGCCGCGUGAACGAGGAAGGUAUACGGAUCAUAAAGGUCUGUCCUAUGGGGAGCAGUACCAUAGAAGAAAGCUCCGGCUAAAUACGUGCCAGCAGCCGCUGUAAUUC